CUACGGGACGCUCCAGUGAGGAAUAUUGCACAAUGGGGGGAACCCUGAUGCAGCAACGCCGCGUGGAGGAUGACGCAUUUCGGUGUGUAAACUCCUUUUAUAUGUCAAGAAAAUGACGGUAGCAUAUGAAUAAGCACCGGCUAACUCCGUGCCAGCAGCCGCGGUAAUACGGAGGGUGCAAGCGUUACUCGGAAUCACUGGGCGUAAAGGACGCGUAGGCGGGUUGGAAAGUCAGGUGUGAAAUCCUACAGCUUAACUGUAGAACUGCACUGGAAACUUCUAAUCUAGAGUAUGGGAGGGGGAGAUGGAAUUCGUGGUGUAGGGGUAAAAUCCGUAGAUAUCACUAGGAAUACCUAAAGCGAAGGCGAUCUCCUGGAACAUUACUGACGCUAAGGCGUGAAAGCGUGGGGAGCAAACAGGAUUAGAUACCCCAGUAGUC
rnacentral:rRNA from 1 species